rnacentral:rRNA from 1 species
UACGUAGGGGGCAAGCGUUGUCCGGAUUCAUUGGGCGUAAAGAGCUCGUAGGCGGCUUGGCAAGUCGGGUGUGAAACCUCCAGGCUCAACCUGGAGACGCCACCCGAUACUGCCAUGGCUAGAGUCCGGUAGGGGACCACGGAAUUCCUGGUGUAGCGGUAAAAUGCGCAGAUAUCAGGAGGAACACCGGUGGCGAAGGCGGUGGUCUGGGCCGGAACUGAACGCUGAGGAGCGAAAGCGUGGGGAGCGAACGAGGA